rnacentral:rRNA from 1 species
CCUACGGGAGGCAGCAGUGGGGAAUAUUGGGCAAUGGGCGCAACCCUGACCCAGCAACGCCGCGUGAAUGAAGAAGGCUUUCGGGUUGUAAACCUCUUUUGACAGGGAAGAGUAGAAGCCGUUACCGGUCGAAUAAGCCACGGCUAACUACGUGCCAGCAGCCGCGGUAAUACGUAGGUGGCAAGCGUUGUCCGGAUUUACUGGGUGUAAAGGGCGUGUAGCCGGGUUGACAAGUCAGAUGUGAAAUCCUGCGGCUUAACCGGAGAACUGCAGUUGAAACUGGUGAUCUUGAGUGCUGGAGAGGCAGGCGGAAUUCCUGGUGUAGCGGUGAAAUGCGUAGAUAUUAGGAGGAACACCAGUGGCGAAGGCGGUCUGCUGGACAGCAACUGACGGUGAGGCGCGAAGGCGUGGGGAGCAAACAGGAUUAGAUACCCGGGUAGUC